UAAAGAUUAUUAAAAUGCACAGUGUGGAUACCUUGGCACAGGAAAAUGGACGUAUAAAAACGAAAAGCCACGCACAAGAAUAAUCUUAGAAACGUGGAUCUCCAAAGGGAAACCAAAUAUAUAUGUAUAAAGUAAAAGGAAACAUCCUAUAGCUUUCAAAAGAAAUCAACAGAGAUUCCGUCAGUAGAGGUGAUCGAAAGCGGUUUAUGCUAUGCUUUGCAAAAAAAAAAUGUUUUCGAAAAAGCUGAAAAGCUUUGUCAAAGAAGGUUAAAACCCUGUAGAAAAUAAUGGUUCUCUAUGAUAAAAAAUUUUAAUAGUUUUGCUGUUAAAAUUUUUUAUCAUGUUUUGGCUAAUGAAUUUAAAAAAAAGUUAAAGGGGUACCACCCUCAACAGCUAAAAAUAUCCUGUGACCGAUAGUGUACAAGUACCAUGAGGGAAAGGUGAAAAGAAGUGUGAAACACUAGUGAAAUAGAACUUGAAACACUGUGCAUAUAUACAGUUUAUAUGUUUAUAUAUAAGUAAUUAUUGUAAAAGAUGUAUAAACGUGCCGCUUGAAUGCUGAGUCAACGAGUAAAUAAAAACAGCAAGCUUAAGCCUUUAGGUGUAGGCGUAUAGACAAAAAAAAAUACUUUGAAUAAAAGUCAAAAGUGGUAAAAAGAGAGUACUACGUACUCUCUUUCAUGCUUUUGACUUUCUUGUGUUAUAUAAAUAGUUGUUUUUAUUUAACCCGAAACCGAAGCGAUCUUUCCAUGAGCAGGUUGACGUCCCAAUAGGAUAAUCCAGGACAGAAGACCGAACUCGUUUAUGUAGCAAUAUAAUGAGAUGACUUGUGGAAAGGAGUGAAAGGCUAAUCAAGCUCGGUCAUAACUGGUUUUUUGCGAAAUGUAUUUAGGUACAGCGGUAUUGUCUUAUUAUACUAUUUUGUAGAGUCACGUCUAUGGAUAGUGAGGUCCUAAGCCUUGUGAACCUUGGACAACUCCAAAGAAAUAGUUUCUUAAUACCAGACAGACUUUGUGCGCAAAGGUGCAAAGUCAAAAGGGAAACAGCCCAGAUCUGCAGCUAAGGUCCUUAAGCGAUUUUCUUAGUGGGAAUCAUGAUAUGUAUGCAUAAAAGACUAGAAGUUAGACUUGGAAGCAGCCAUGCUAUAAUGACAGCGUAACAGCUCACUGGUUUAGCAUGCAUGUCUAUAAUAUUAACGGGUCUAAAGAAAUCCACCGAAGCUCAGAUUCAACUCUUU
rnacentral:rRNA from 1 species